GUCUUUAUAGGUGGAUCUUCGGAUAGGGGAGCGAGUAAGAGAGGAGUUUAUACUUUACUUCAUAGUGAAACGCAAUCUUUCUAACUAUGCUACUUGAAUUUCUGAAAGGGUUACUUAUGUAACUAUACUGUUCCAGUGCCGACAUAAUCCAUCUGCCGUCAAAUUUUAUUUGUACGGCAUUCAUUCUAGCAAUGUUUACAGUGCUUAGAACGACUAUAACUUGAGCUUGGGGCAGGGUAGAUAUAGUACUGAAUUUAAGCAUAUUAAUAAGUACUCAAGAAAAUAAAAAUGAGACCCUUAGUACUGGCGAAGGAAACGGGAGAGCGGCUAGCCAAUACCUCUUGGGUGAUUGUGUUAAUGAAAAAUCAAUUGUUUGACCCGGAAUCUGCAUCGGACUGUGCGGUAACUUUGGUGAUAAUCCAUAAAUCGGUGACGACGUUGUUAUUUCACUAAGGAGUAGCGUUACUUCAAAAUGUAGCGUGAAGUAGGAGGUAAGAACCUUCUAACCGUGAUCAAAUCUCUUAUUCCGAUAGAGAAACAGUACCGUGAGGGAAAAGUGAAAAGACGACUAUAAAGUCCGUUAAAAGAAACUAAUCUAUAAAGGUAGAACGUUGCUUGCAUCUAUGUGGUGGAUUGAGAACCCUCCACGAUAGCUAGGCUCAAAAAGUCUAGUGAGAAGAUGUCAGCAACACCCGUCUUGAAACACGGACCAAGGAGUCAUUCUAUACAGUGAACUGCUGCGCAAAGCGUGGAAGUGAACCAAAACUCUAUCGAAUGGACCCGAAAGGUGGUGAACUAUUCCUGAGAGGGUAUAAGCCAGUGGAAACGCUGGUAGAUGACCCGUGUGAUACUGACGUGCAAUUCGUUCAUUUUACUUAGGAAUAGGGGCGAAAGACUAAUCGAACCAUCUAGUAGCUGGUUCCUCUCGAAGUUUCUCCUAGGAUAGCGGACAUGAUAAGUGAUCACAUAAGUUAGAGCAAUGUUUUGAGGAUACGGGGACGAACGUCCUUGGCCUAGUCACAAACUACUAAACUAUGUAAGGGCUAUUUUUAACAACAUAGUUCCCGUUUGACACUCAUGUCUCGUGGACCGUUUUUGGUAAGCAGAUACGGUGCUUUGGAAUGCUCCAAGCAUGAUGGAAAGGGAUAAGACUCUUCGUUUAUUUCUUUAAAAGGUGUUUAUACAUUUAGACAGUCCGAGGAUGGCCAUGGAAGUAGGAAUUCCCUAAGGAGUGUGUAACAACUCACGGACCGAAUGGAUAAGCCCUUAAAAUGGACUGUGUUAAAACGAUGGGCCCGUAUCAUCAUAGCUCGGUGGUUGCCGAGUUUGUAGAGAGGUGUGCCCAUGGAAGUGAGUUGCUGCUUUGAGGCAGUGGUGAUCUGUGGGUAGUGUUGAUCUUGGUAGAAGUAGCAGCAUUGCAGUCUAAACUGUAAGACGGAAGUAGGAAAGGUUUUUGUGGAUACAUUAUAUGGCUGUAAGUGAACCGAUCUUAACGUAUUUAAAAACGGAAAAGGGACCAGGUGUUUAUUCCUGGGUCUGAGGAUAUUAAACAGCGGCGACGCAGUAUAUACUAACUUGUCUUGGGUUUCUCAUCUGAAUGCGUUUUCUACGCUUCCUAACUCCUGGUCUUUUGUUGAGGAGAUUUACUCUAAGAUACAAAAGAAGGGCAGAAAUUAUAUGAUCAUCAUAAGAUUGAGUAACCAUUGCGCUUAUGAAAAGUGUAUAGAUAAUCCUCGGUUCGUACCAAUAACCGCAUCAGGUCUCUAGGGUUCAAAGCCCUUCGUGUGUGGAGUAAAAUAGGCUAGGGAAGUCGGCAAAAUAGAUCUGUAACCUUGGGAAAAGGGUUGGCUCUGCGGGCCACAGAAAAGAUGCAUAUGCAUGUGACUUCUCAGAUUUUAUCUGUGGAUGUCUCGGCUGUGUUGAAUUUCUGGUAAUGCCUAAGUAGAACUGAGACAAUAAGGGGAAUCCGACAGUUUAACUAAAACCAAGCACUCUGUUUGUUUAUACAUAAGUACAGAGUGUGAAUUCUGCCCGGUGCUUUGAAUGUCAAUGUGAGGAGACUCAUUUAAGCGCGGGUUAACGGCAGGCGUAACUAUGACGCUUUCAACGUAGCAAAAUGCCUCGUCAUCUAAUUAGUGACUCGCAUGAACGGAUUAAUGAGAUUCCUAC
rnacentral:rRNA from 1 species